UUUGUUUUCUGAAAGGAAAUAAAGAUGCUCAUCGAAAACGAAACCUCUCUCUCCUCUCAGACGCUCAACACUCACAGCUUGCCGUCUCUCUCUCGCGAAAUUUCCCUCUUCAUCCUUACUCACAUGGCCAAAAACACCAGUUGAUGUCGAACCAACAGCCUAUCCUCCAGCAUUUGCAGUGGGUCAGGUCUAAGUUUUCAAAUACUCUCGAACAUCCCCACACCUCCUUUCUCUAUUUCUGUCUAGCCGACUCAUCACCGUCACAAUCCCAAUAGCAGAUCUACCUUUUCCGAAUCGUGAACGUUUUCUCAGAUCCCACGUGAUUUGAGUACUCCAACCCCGCCCAUAGCUCCCUCCGUCACCGCUGAGUUUUGGAUAGAGAACCUGAUCUUGCUGGUCAACAAAAUCCAGAGAGCUUGCACAGCUCUCGGUGACCACGGCGAAACCCGCGCAUUACAGACUCUUUGGGACUUGCUUCCCUCCAUCGCUGUCGUCGGUGGCCAGGAAUUGUUAGUUGGCAUCCUCUAGUACUGUUCCAGCCUCAUAAGAUUGAUGAACGCAUCAAAGAAUAUGAGGAGUUUCUCCACCUUCCAAGGAAAAGGUUCAUUAUGUUGCAAAAUGGAAGGGUAUCACUUUCAUGACAAGUAGACAAGGACUUGGUGUUGGUGGAGGAACGUCAACAAAGGAUCUGGAAAGUUUCAUCUUAUUCUGAAGCAAAGUGAAUUUUCGGUGAUUCUUCCAAAUUUGGUCUGCAUUUGGGAAAGUUCCAGCAUUUUUAAUGUAUCCUCUGAUUUUCUGUUGAGAUUUGAACUCCUAUUUGAAUCAUUUAACUUCUGGUUUUAUGUAUAUUGAAUUAUGCAUUUCAAAUAGUUGUUUCAAAACUAAUUUCAUGUCAAUUGGACUUACAAUGAAUUUUUGGUGAAUUUUCUAAGUUGACCAUGCUGCUGAGAUUUUUUUUUUAUAUGACUCAUGCAGUUCAGUCAGAUUGUGUUCAUCUUUUUUCUUGCUGUUCUAAAUCCGAAUUCCAUGAAAAUUCAAUUGCUUUGACUCUUUCGUGUCGAUUUUACUGGGAGAAGAGAACUUGCAGAUCGCCAUGUCAAUUCCAUAUAUAUAUAUAUGGUAGAUUGCUUUGGAGUAAUAUUACUCUAUAAUUAUUUGUUUUGGGUUAGAAGUAGUCUAGUUUGGCUUGGUGUUCUCCUAAAUUAUGUUCUGAAUUGGCUUCAAGCCUUUUGACUUUGAUGAUAUAACAAGCCUUUUGUAUUGUUCCAAAAUGAAUGAUGUCCAUAUAGUAGAAAAGAAUACUUUGAUUUUAGGGUUU